rnacentral:rRNA from 1 species
AUGGACGUUAAGACGGCUUUCCUCAAUGGAGAGUUGAAGGAGGAAAUUUACAUGGAUCAGCCAGAUGGUUUUGUAGUACCUGGUCAGGAAGGAAAGGUGUGCAAGUUAUUAAAGUCUUUAUAUGGCCUUAAACAAGCUCCUAAGGAGUGGCAUGAGAAGUUCGAAAGAACAUUAACUACUGCCGGCUUAAUUUUUAGUAAAUGA